GGGGCCGUGGCCCAAUUGGCAGAGGCACACGGUUUAGGUCCGUGCCAGUGUGGGUUCGAGUCCCACCGGCCCCACC
rnacentral:tRNA from 1 species